UUUCCAUAGUUUUCCACAAAUUUUAUCUUAAUUCCACUGGCAGGUACCGGGAAUGUAAUUGAUAUUGAAGAUAAGUCGUUACAUAAGAACAUUAUUCUUCAUGCAUGUUUUAAACUUUUUUUACAGACUUCUGCGAUUGGGGUGUGUGGCAGGGAAGAAAUAUUUGUCAACAUCGGCAAUGUUUGAUCUGAUAGAUACUCGUUGAUAUUGCAAAGCAACAGCAACAGUGGUAACAGGCUGCUUAAGGUCAUGAGAGAGAUGGCACAGAGAAUUAUGUUUAUUGACAUUUGUGAACACACAAAGUUCUGGUCCAACAGAGACAAAUAUUUCUAAACCAGCAGACAGUGGAGCUCUCCAUUUUUGAUUAGAAGGGUAUUACAACAUCGACAUUCAGGAAAACCUGGCCUUAUUAACAUGUAGAGGUCUUUCGUCUAAGAUCAUACCACCAGUUGCAAUCCAGAACCUAGAUUUCAGCACCGCUAAGUAGUAAAUUCAUGGACCAUUAGUUUUACGUCCAGGAUCCCUCUUCAACUGAAAAUUUGUCAGACAAUGAUUGUACAGUUAUAUCUGGAUCUCAAGACAUUUAUGUAACAGUAACUUAGUCUUUACAAUCAACCAAUUCUACUAGACUAAGUAGACAAAGACUGAUGAAAGUACUAAGGUGGAUCCCAGUUUAACCGAGGAGUAACUAAGCUUGCAGACCAGCAGUUGUGCAUAACUAUUUGCUUACCAGCUCCUAUGAAAUUGUAUGUAAUGUUUAAAAGAAAGUUUUUCGAUACAACAAUAUGAAUCUGAAUUAGAAUAAUGGGCCUUGCAGUGCAAUUCUAUUUAAUAAACAAAGAAGUUGAGAUUUUAAAAUCAGUAAAUAUAGAAUCACCUGUAAUGAUUAGCGACUUCUUUAAUUCUUUUGAUUAUGUGGAUGUUUAUGUUUUUAAAUUUGAACCCAAGAUGGAAACAUUCAGAUAUUGUUAUGUUUUUUUUAGCUCACAUCAGUACAAAGAGGGUUGGAUGAACUCAUAACAGCUUGACUAAUCAUACAUAACACAUAAUGAAUGUACAAAUUAUAUAUGUCAUACCAUGUGUGUCUUUCGCUCUGUCAGUUCAUAUACUGCCAUUUGUUUAUUCACGACUAUGAAUACUCAGGGAAAUCAGAUUCAUUAUGUUUUACAUAACAUGCCUUUCUUAUAUCUCAUUUUGUACAUACAUAUACAUAGCAUAGACCAUACAUUUUUUAGCCCAACUAUUCAUAGAAUAGUAGAGCUAUCGGACCCGCCCAUGCGUCCGCGUCGACGUCCCGAUUUGGUUAAGUUUUUGUAUGUA
rnacentral:lncRNA from 1 species